rnacentral:rRNA from 1 species
UGGCGGACGGGUGAGUAAUGUCUGGGAAACUGCCCGAUGGAGGGGGAUAACUACUGGAAACGGUAGCUAAUACCGCAUAACGUCGCAAGACCAAAGAGGGGGACCUUCGGGCCUCUUGCCAUCGGAUGUGCCCAGAUGGGAUUAGCUAGUAGGUGGGGUAAAGACUCACCUAGGCGACGAUCCCUAGCUGGUCUGAGAGGAUGACCAGCCACACUGGAACUGAGACACGGUCCAG